GAAAAAUGAAGAUAUUCUGACUGCUUCCUGACUCCUUCAGUGAAGACCUCAGAUCCAACUCUGAUUUCACUGUUUCA
rnacentral:snoRNA from 1 species